rnacentral:rRNA from 1 species
GUCAGCGGCAGACGGGUGAGUAACGCGUGGGAACGUGCCCUUCGGUUCGGAAUAACUCAGGGAAACUUGAGCUAAUACCGGAUACGUGCGAGAGCAGAAAGGUUUAUCUGCCGAAGGAUCGGCCCGCGUCUGAUUAGCUAGUUGGUGAGGUUACGGCUCACCAAGGCGACAAUCAGUAGCUGGUCUGAGAGGAUGAUCAGCCACACUGGGACUGAAACACGGCCCAAACUCCUACGGGAGGCAGCAGUGGGGAAUAUUGGACAAUGGGGGCAACCCUGAUCCAGCCAUGCCGCGUGAGUGAUGACGGCCUUAGGGUUGUAAAGCUCUUUUCUCCGGGACGAUAAUGACGGUACCGGAGGAAUAAGCCCCGGCUAACUUCGUGCCAGCAGCCGCGGUAAUACGAAGGGGGCUAGCGUUGCUCGGAAUCACUGGGCGUAAAGGGCGCGUAGGCGGCUGAUUUAGUCGAGGGUGAAAGCCCGUGGCUCAACCACGGAAUGGCCUUCGAUACUGAUUGGCUUGAGACCGGAAGAGGACAGCGGAACUGCGAGUGUAGAGGUGAAAUUCGUAGAUAUUCGCAAGAACACCAGUGGCGAAGGCGGC